rnacentral:tRNA from 1 species
GGUGAGAUGGCUCAGAGGUUAAGAGCACUGACUGUUCUUCCAGAGGUCCUGGGUUCAAUUCCCAGCAACCA